UAACUUAGGGAGAAGGGGUGCCUACGAGAGUAGGCCGCAGUGAAUAGGCUCAAGCAACUGUUUAUCAAAAACACAGGUCUCUGCUAAAGCGUAAGCUGAUGUAUAGGGGCUGACGCCUGCCCGGUGCUGGAAGGUUAAGGGGAAUAGUUAGCGCAAGCGAAGCUAUGAACUUAAGCCCCAGUAAACGGCGGCCGUAACUAUAACGGUCCUAAGGUAGCGAAAUUCCUUGUCGGGUAAGUUCCGACCCGCACGAAUGGCGUAAUGAUUUGAGCACUGUCUCGGCAAUAAAUCCGGUGAAAUUGUAGUGCAAGUGAAGAUGCUUGCUACCCGCGGUUGGACGGAAAGACCCCGUAGAGCUUUACUGUAGCUUAGCAUUGAAUUUCGGUAUUGUCUGUACAGGAUAGGUGGGAGACUUAGAAGCGAGGGCGUCAGCUUUCGUGGAGUCGUCCUUGGGAUACCACCCUGACAGUACUGGAAUUCUAACUGGAGGCCAUGAAUCUGGUCACAGGACAUUGCUAGGUGGGCAGUUUGACUGGGGCGGUCGCCUCCUAAAAGGUAACGGAGGCGCCCAAAGGUUCCCUCAGCGCGGUCGGAAAUCGCGCGUAGAGUGCAAAGGCAGAAGGGAGCCUGACUGCGCCACAUACAGGUGGAGCAGGGACGAAAGUCGGGCUUAGUGAUCCGGUGGUUCUGUAUGGAAGGGCCAUCGCUCAACGGAUAAAAGCUACCUCGGGGAUAACAGGCUGAUCUCCCCCAAGAGUCCACAUCGACGGGGAGGUUUGGCACCUCGAUGUCGGCUC
rnacentral:rRNA from 1 species